UAUAACGUGGUGUAUGGUGCACACAGGUCUUUGGAUCCUGAAGAUUAAGUUCAACUCUUCUCAUUAUAA
rnacentral:tRNA from 1 species